GAUGAACGCUAGCGGCAGGCUUAAUACAUGCAAGUCGAGGGGCAGCAUGACUGUAGCAAUACAGUUGAUGGCGACCGGCAAACGGGUGCGGAACACGUACGCAACCUACCCAAAACUGAGGAAUAGCCCGGGGAAACCCGGAUUAAUACCUCGUAACAUAAUUGAGUGGCAUCAUUUAAUUAUUAUAGCUCCGGCGGUUUUGGAUGGGCGUGCGCCUGAUUAGAUAGUUGGCGGGGUAACGGCCCACCAAGUCUGCGAUCAGUAACUGGUGUGAGAGCACGACCAGUCACACGGGCACUGAGACACGGGCCCGACUCCUACGGGAGGCAGCAGUAAGGAAUAUUGGUCAAUGGACGCAAGUCUGAACCAGCCAUGCCGCGUGAAGGAUGAAGGUCCUCUGGA
rnacentral:rRNA from 1 species